UAACGCGUGGGUGACGUACCUGUUGGUGGGGAAUAACUGCCCGAAAGGGUGGCUAAUUCCGCAUAAGUCCUUCGGUUCGAUCUGAAGGGGAAAGCUUCUUGUCAAAGAGAGGUGCCGAUGGAGCGGCCCGCGUCCGAUUAGCUGGUUGGUGGGGUAACGGCCUACCAAGGCGACGAUCGGUAGCUGGUCUGAGAGGACGGUCAGCCACACUGGGACUGAGACACGGCCCAG
rnacentral:rRNA from 1 species